rnacentral:rRNA from 1 species
UACGAAGGGAGCUAGCGUUGUUCGGAAUCACUGGGCGUAAAGCGCACGUAGGCGGAUUUGUCAGUCAGGGGUGAAAUCCCGGGGCUCAACCUCGGAACUGCCUUUGAUACAGCAAGUCUUGAGUUCGAGAGAGGUGGGUGGAAUUCCUAGUGUAGAGGUGAAAUUCGUAGAUAUUAGGAAGAACACCGGUGGCGAAGGCGGCCCACUGGCUCGAUACUGACGCUGAGGAGCGAAAGCCAGGGGAGCAAACGGG